GGUCCACGUGUAUGCAACAAAAGUGAAAUGCAAACAGGAGACGAACCCGGGUAGACAAAGCUAGGGUUCACAUUUUGAACUUGUUUGUCUGUUUCCAAUGGAGCAAGGGAGCACAGACACUCGUGUGGAUGCAAACCCAAGUCUUUCCAGUCACGAAGAAAUACAAUCUUUGGAUUUCGAUACUGAGUGUGAGACCAAAAUGACCAACUCUGCUGGAAACGGGGCAGGAGGUUCUUCCUAUGUUGAAGAAGGCGUGAGAAAAAAGCGCGGCAGAAAAAGUAAAAAGGAGAUGGGAAAGAUGUUAGAUGCUACCGCCAUGGAAGGUGGGGUUUCCGAGCAGAGACCCAGUAGAAAAAGAAAGAAAUAUGAUGAAAUGGCUGAAUUUGAAAUGUCUGGCACUGAGAAAAAAUAUGGUCUUAGGGGCUGUAAACAAGAGAUGGAGCCAAAAGCCAACAGGAGAAAGGCCAAGUGUGAUGAAGAGGGCCCCUUAACGUGCCAUCAAUGUAAGAGAAAUGAUAAAGGCAGGGUUGUGAGGUGCAAAUGCUGUAACAAGAGAAGAUUUUGCCUAUUGUGUUUACAAGCUUGGUAUCCUCAUUUGAAAGAGGAUGAUAUUGCUGAGAAAUGUCCUGUGUGCCGUGGUAAUUGCAAUUGCAAAGCAUGCUUGAGCUGUGAUGAACUUAUUAAGCAAAUGAGGGAGUUUGCAAAAGCUGACAAAGAAGAGAAGGUUGAACUCUGUAUGUAUUUGCUGCAAGUACUUCUUCCAUAUUUACGGCAGUUGGAUGAAGAACAGUUGAUUGAGAAUGAGACAGAAGCUAAGAUACAAGGGCUCUCAGUCUCCAAGCUAAAUUUAGCUAAGGCAGAUUACUCUAUGGAGGAGCGUGUGUACUGUGACAACUGCAAAACAUCAAUAUUUGAUUACCAUAGAAGCUGCACAAAAUGCUCUUUUGACCUUUGUCUCAUCUGUUGCCGUGAGCUUCGUGGUGGGCAGCUUGUAGGUGGUGCAGAUCCAAUAGAGUUGGAGUUUGUUUGGCAAGGUCGUGGUUACUUGCAUGCUGAAAAAAAAGAUGAAGAGGUAAAACAAAAUGCAUCAGAUGAUGAUUGUAAGCCUGAGGUUCGUGAAUGGUCAAGAUCUGGGUGGCUGGCACAAAGUGAUGGUAGCAUUCCUUGUCCAAAAGUCAAUGAUGAAUGUAACCAUGGUUUUCUUGAACUGAGAAGCAUAUUGGGUCAACAUUUUGUCUCUGAGUUAGUGUGUAAAGCAAAAGAACUAGUGCAAGCAUACAAGCUUCAAAAUGUAGUUAAGACCGCAGACAACUUCUGUUCAUGUUUGAAGCUUGAUAGAAACACAGAUGUUAGCUAUAGUAAUAUGAGGAAGGCUGCUUCUCGAGAAGAUUUGACUGACAACUAUUUAUACUGUCCUAAAGCUGUAGAUCUUCAGUACAAGGAUUUAAGGCAUUUUCAGUGGCAUUGGGAAAAGGGAGAGCCUGUCAUUGUCAGCAAUGUGCUUGAAUGUACAUCUGGUUUAAGCUGGGAACCACUUGUCAUGUGGCGUGCAUUACGUCAUGUAACUAAUACCAAGCGUGGCCAACAUUUGGCUGAGAAAACAAUUGAUUGCUUAGAUUGGACUGAGGGGGAAAUUAAUAUCCACCAAUUUUUUACUGGCUAUACAAAUGGUCGUAAGGAUUGGCUUGCUUGGCCACAGAUAUUGAAAUUAAAAGAUUGGCCUCCUUCUAAUUUAUUUGAGGAACAAUUGCCUCGUCAUUGUGCUGAGUUCAUAUCUUCCUUACCCUUCAAGGAAUAUACUGAUCCUCACAAAGGUUCUCUUAACCUUGCUGUGAAGUUGCCUAAUGGUUCUCUAAAGCCAGACCUGGGGCCAAAAACAUAUAUUGCUUAUGGAUUUCCUCAGGAGCUUGGACGUGGUGAUUCAGUGACUAAGCUCCAUUGUGAUAUGUCUGAUGCAGUAAAUGUGUUGACUCAUAUUGCUGAAGUGAAACUGGAUUCUGAUCAACUUACUAUCAUUGAGAAGUUGAAGCAAAAGCACCUCGAGCAAGAGAAAAGGGAGCUACUUGGUGAUGAUCAGGAUGGAGGAACUAAUGUUGACAUGCUUAAUAAUUCGUCUUCUACAAUAAAUGCUUUGGACAAGCAAAGUAGUGUUGAAGUCAUGGAACAAGAAGGUGGAUUAUGUGAUGGGAAAGAAGUUGACCAGUUUCAUCAACCGUCUCGUAGUAAUGAGGUUGCCAUUGCUAAUGAGGAUGGUAUUUCAUAUGGAUCAGAGCUCAUAGAGGUUGACAAAGUAAAAAUAAAUCAAGGUGAUUUGUUGUUUGGGGGGGAUGCUUCAGAUGGUGCUCUCUGGGAUAUUUUUCGGAGACAGGAUGUCCCUAAGUUGCAGGAAUAUCUGAAGAAGCAUUUCAGAGAGUUUAGGCAUGUCCAUUGCUGUCCUUUAAAGCAGGUUAUUCAUCCCAUCCAUGACCAGACCUUCUAUCUGACUAUGGAGCAUAAGAGGAAGCUUAAGGAGGAGUAUGGAAUUGAGCCCUGGACUUUUAUUCAGAAGUUAGGAGAUGCUGUUUUUAUUCCAGUUGGUUGUCCUCACCAAGUCAGAAAUCUGAAGUCAUGUAUCAAGGUUGCAAUGGAUUUUGUGUCUCCUGAAAAUGUUGGGGAGUGCUUUCGUUUGACGGAGGAAUUUCGCACACUUCCAAUUAAUCACAGGUCUACUGAGGACAAAUUGGAGGUGUCACACCCAUUGCUACAGUUUUGUAGUUGCAAAGGAGCCUUGGCCAAAAUUAGAGUUCGGACAAGCCAACAAUCAAUUGGCUGAGUCAACAACUAAUUUGGACAGGGAUGAAGAGAUCCAAAGGAUGAGUUGGGUAGUUGCUUUGGUCCAGCAUACAAGCCACCAUCUUACAAUAACAUUAGACCGAAGCUUCUGAAGAAAAAAGUUGUGAGGACAGAUAAGAUUUUGGAGGAGCAUAGGACUAUUUGGAAGAAGACUGGAUGUACCAUCAUGAUUGAUGGAUGGAUUGAUAGGAGGAGAAUUGUCCUAAACUUUUUGGGAAAUAGUCCCAAGGGAAAUGUCUUUUUGAGAUCAAUUGAUGCCUCACGUGUAACGAAACAGCUGAAAGAAAUUUCAAGAUGAUGGACAUUUGGAGUUGUAGAGGUUUGCCAUUUGUUUGUUGAGCUUGAAUUCCAGCUUUUUAGAUGGUGAAGAAAAUGACAAUAUAUGCAAUGGAAGAUGUGAUUGGAAAGUUGGAGAAAGCAAGGUCCGGGUUAACCAAGGGUCCAGAGUAAAUAUAUCUGUAACAGAUAGAAGCCAAUUGGAAGUG